rnacentral:rRNA from 1 species
AGAGUUUGAUCCUGGCUCAGAACGAACGCUGGCGGCAUGCCUAACACAUGCAAGUCGAACGAACCCUUCGGGGUUAGUGGCGCACGGGUGCGUAACGCGUGGGAACGUACCUUUUGGUUCGGAACAACCCAGGGAAACUUGGGCUAAUACCGGAUAAGCCCUUACGGGGAAAGAUUUAUCGCCGAAAGAUCGGCCCGCGUCUGAUUAGCUUGUUGGUGAGGUAAUGGCUCACCAAGGCGAUGAUCAGUAGCUGGUCUGAGAGGAUGAUCAGCCACAUUGGGACUGAGACACGGCCCAAACUCCUACGGGAGGCAGCAGUGGGGAAUAUUGGACAAUGGGCGCAAGCCUGAUCCAGCCAUGCCGCGUGAGUGAUGAAGGCCCUAGGGUUGUAAAGCUCUUUUGUGCGGGAAGAUAAUGACGUACCGCAAGAAUAA